rnacentral:rRNA from 1 species
UACGGAGGAUCCGAGCGUUAUCCGGAUUUAUUGGGUUUAAAGGGUGCGUAGGCGGAAUGGUAAGUCAGAGGUGAAAUCCUGCAGCUCAACUGUAGAAUAGCCUUUGAAACUGUCAUUCUUGAGUACAUUUGAGGUAGGCGGAAUGUGGUGUGUAGCGGUGAAAUGCAUAGAUAUACCACAGAACACCGAUUGCGAAGGCA